GGUGUUGAGACCGGUGGUGUU
rnacentral:siRNA from 1 species